GUGUCUAUGGCGAAGCUGGAGUCGCGUUUGUCUAAGGUACACAGUGUUUGACGAACAUCCAAGUAGAAUACCUCAGUUCGAACCUGAGUGGGCACA